rnacentral:rRNA from 1 species
CGCGAACGGGUGAGUACACGUGGGUACCCACCCCGAUGACCGGGACAUAUCCCGAGGAAACUCGGGCUAAUGCCGGAUGUUCUCCGCUCUCAUAAGGGAGCUGAGGAAAGAUAGCUUCGGCCUUCGGCAUCGGGACGGGCCCUGCGGCGCAUUACUUGUUGGUGGGGUAACGGGCUACCAGGGCGACGAUGCGUAGCUGGUCUGAGAGGACGAUCAGCCACACUGGGACUGAGCCACGGUCCAACUUCCAUACGGGAGGCAGCAGUGGGGAAUCUUGCGCAAUGCGCGAAAGCGUGACGCAGCAACGCCGCGUGGGGGAAGAAGGCCUUCGGGUUGUAACCCCCUUUCAGUUGGGACGAAGCUUCGCCGGUGAAUAGCCGGCUGGAGUGACGGUUCCUUCACAUGAUAGCCCCGGCUUACUACGUGCCAGCAGCCGCGG